AUUGAACGCUGGCGGAAUGCUUUACACAUGCAAGUCGAACGGCAGCACGGACUUCGGUCUGGUGGCGAGUGGCGAACGGGUGAGUAAUGUAUCGGAAUGUGCCCAGUCGUGGGGGAUAACGUAGUGAAAAUUACGCUAAUACCGCAUACGAUCUAUGGAUGAAAGCGGGGGAUCGCAAGACCUUGCGCGCUUGGAGCGGCCGAUAUCAGAUUAGGUAGUUGGUGGGGUAAAGGCCCACCAAGCCAACGAUCUGUAGCUGGUCUGAGAGGACGACCAGCCACACUGGAACUGAGACACGGUCCAGACUCCUACGGGAGGCAGCAGUGGGGAAUUUUGGACAAUGGGCGAAAGCCUGAUCCAGCCAUUCCGCGUGCAGGAUGAAGGCCCUCGGGCUGUAAACUGCUUUUGUACAGAACGAAAAGGUUUCUACUAAUACUAGGAGCUCAUGACGGUACUGUAAGAAUAAGCACCGGCUAACUACGUGCCAGCCGCCGCGGUAA
rnacentral:rRNA from 1 species